UGUUGAAAUCACCAAGCAAAAUAAUUUUAUCAGAAUUGGCUAUACCAUGCAAACACUCUUUUAAAGCUUCACAAAAUUCAAGUUUUGUUUCUUCGUUGCAAUCUUAAGUCAGUGCAUAUGUAUUUAUAAUUGUUGAAGAGUGAUCAACUUUAAUUUCAUGCUUAGAGUCAUGACUCUCUCAUUAACAGCCUUUGGCACUGUAUGGAUGUCUGCCAGCCAUGCUAAACUGACCAGGUUUUUAUGAGAAUAUUUUAUACCAUAGGGGUUAAAUUUAUAUCAAUUUUACCCUUUUAAAAUGAGUUUAGAUCACACCCACAUCAGUCACUGCAUGCUAAAUGAAUUCAAAAGGAAUUCUUUAGCAAUGGAAGCAGCAAGAAGUAUUUGUUUUGCUUAUGGAAAUGAAGCUUUAAGUGUCUGGACAUGCCAAUGAUGGUUUGGCCAGUUUUGCUUGGGAAGAUUUUCUCUUGCAGAUUCUCCUCAAUCUGCAUGACCAAGUUCUGCCAAUAUUGAGCUUCUGAAAACUGUAGUUGAGGAAAAUCUAAAGAAAGCUGAAUGAGGAUUAGCAAAACAGUGUCUAAUGUUGGGUAAUGUGUCCCUCAUCAUCUGACUAUUUCUCAGCUUAAUCAAAGAGUUGUCCUUUACUUGUCAUUGACUUGUUACUGAACCUUUCCAGGGAAAAUCACCCCAAGUUAUGAAAAGCGAGUUCUCUUUAAUCAUAUCCAACAAAAAUGCCAAUGGCAAGCACUCAAUGAAAAAGGAAAAUCAUUCCACAAACCAGACCUACAUCCGAAAAAGUUAUGCCCCAUGUUUGAUAGAAUAUGAAGGGUGUCAAUCAUCUUUCCAGAUCCUUGCAACAUUAUUUAGCGAGAAAACAGUUUAUUAAUUGUGUACAGGUUAAAAAUGACAAUGACUAUUUCUUCACUUCGGAAUCUGGAGAAUUAUACACCAAAAAUUUCAACAAUUUGCAAAAUAAUGAAGGGGAAUAUUAUCUGGAAUAAAAAUGUCUUUCUCCUCCUGAAAUGCAACAAGACUUUCUUUUCAAUCUAAUACUAGAUGGAUAUAAUAAUACAUCAUCAUUACCAUCACCACCAUCAUCAUGAUGAUGAUCAUCAGUUAACAUCCAUUUUCCAUGCUGCAAGGUUUGACAUGGAGCUGGCCAGUGAGGACUCCAAUUGUCUGUUGUGGCAUGGUUUCUGGAUGCUCUUCUUUAUGCUAACCACUUUACAAAGUGCGCUGGGUGCAUUUACACAGCACCGGCAUAAGUGCAUUUUAUAUGGCACUGGCACCUGUAAAGGACAACCCUGUAUGUAUAGAUGACAGUAAUUUUACAUAUCUUGGCACGAUUUUUCAAGUACAGUAAAUCACCACAACUCUCAGUCCCUUGUCAUUUCCUCAGUGAGGCCCAGCAUCUUAAAAUCCUUUCUCACCCAAAUCUUCCUGGGUUUACCUCAUCCACAAGUUCCCUCUACAAUUACUGCUCGGAACUUCUUUAUGCAGCUGUCCUCAUCCAUAUGUAUCACAGAACCAAACCAGUGCAGUCUUUUCUCCUGCACACAUCUAAUACCUCUUACACCCAGUUUUCCUCUCAAAUCACUUGCACUCUGUCAUGUGUGCACACUGACAUCACCCAUCCAGUGGAGCAUGCUAGCAUAAUUUCUUUCAAGCCUUCGUAAGUCCUCUGUAGUCAAAGCUCAUGUUUCACUGCUAUGGAGCAUAGCUGUACACAUACAGGUAUCAUACAAUCUGCCUUUCACUCUGAGGGAGAGGUCCUUAGGUGCCAACAAAGAUAGAAGCUCUCAACAUGCUAAAUAUAAUAUAUCAUACCUAAAAACAGGUUUCUCUUCAUCAGACUCUUUUGCAUCUAAGAUUCGGCGUUCAGCUGCAAGAGCUCUCUGGAAAUAUUUUAAAUUUAAGAUAAAUUACUUGUUUUUUAAA